CUAGGGGAUUUCAGCUGGAACAUCACACAUACACUAUAGGUAAACAGGUCCUAGUACCCAUCCUUGGGGUUACAGUGACUAGGGGAUUUCAGCUGGAACAUCACACAUACACUAUAGGUAAAUAGGUCCUAGUACCCAUCCUUGGGGUUACAGUGACUAGGGGAUAUCAGCUGGAACAUCACACAUACACUAUAGGUAAACAGGCCCCUAGUACCCAUCCUUGGGGUUACAAUGGCAAGGUGUAUCAGGUGGAAAAGCAAGCAUUCACAACAAAAACAGCCCCUAGUAGCCAUACUUUAAGUCUUCUUAGCUUCCCAAAAUCUUGGAACCUAAGAGUAGCCCCGGUCAAACAGAGAACAGAGAAGUAACUCUGCACUGUUAUGUUGCUUACCAUACUUUUCCCUUCUACUCUGUUGUACGGUUCCACACAUGUAGAACCUUUAGAGCUUCCCAGGAGGACGACCAAAGAA
ensembl:lncRNA